rnacentral:rRNA from 1 species
UACAGAGGUCCCAAGCGUUGUUCGGAUUCACUGGGCGUAAAGGGUGCGUAGGUGGUUGUGCAAGUCUGAUGUGAAAUCUCCGGGCUUAACCCGGAAAUGGCAUUGGAAACUGCAUGGCUAGAGGUUUGGAGGGGGGACUGGAAUUCUCGGUGUAGCAGUGAAAUGCGUAGAUAUCGAGAGGAACACCAGUGGCGAAGGCGAGUCCCUGGACAACACCUGACACUGAGGCACGAAAGCUAGGGGAGCAAACAGG